rnacentral:misc_RNA from 1 species
GAAAUGCGAUAAGUAGUGUGAAUUGCAGAAUUCGGUGAAUCAUCGAAUCUUUGAACGCACAUUGCGCCCCUCGGUAUUCCGUGGGGCAUGCCUGUUCGAGCGUCAUCUACACCCUCAAGCUCUGCUUGGUGUUGGGCGUCUGUCCCGCCUCCUUCGCGCGCGGACUCGCCCCAAAUCCAUUGGCGGCGGCCCUUGCCUCCCUCUCGCGCAGCACAUUGCGCUUCUCGAGGCGCGGCGGACCGCGUCCAGCAAGCAACCGUCACACCGUCUUUGACCUCGGAUCAGGUAGGGAUACCCGCUGAACUUAAGC